rnacentral:rRNA from 1 species
GCUUGUCUCAAAGAUUAAGCCAUGCAUGUCUCAGUAUAAGUUCCUGUACGGCGAAACUGCGAAUGGCUCAUUAAAACAGUUACAGUUUAUUUGAUGGUCUUUGCUACUUGGAUAACCGUAGUAAUUCUAGAGCUAAUACAUGCAUCAAUCCUCUAUUUGAGGUGUAUUUAUUAGAUUGUAACCAAAGCGGGGUAACCCGGUAUAUGGUGAUUCAUAAUAACUUUCGGAUCGAUUUUAAUCGAUGCAUCAUUCAAGUUUCUGCCCUAUCAGCUUUGGAUGGUAGGGUAUUGGCCUACCAUGGCUUUAACGGGUAACGGAGAAUUAGGGUUCGAUUCCGGAGAGGGAGCCUGAGAAAUGGCUACCACAUCCAAGGAAGGCAGCAGG